GAUGAACGCUGGCGGCGUGCUUAACACAUGCAAGUCGAACGAGAAGUGAAGACGGAACCCUUCGGGCGGAAGGCUUUAUUUCGAGUGGCGGACGGGUGAGUAACGCGUGGGUAACCUUCCUCAUACAGGGGGAUAACAGUUGGAAACGACUGUUAAUGCCGCAUAAGACCACAGCACCGCAUGGUGCGGGGGUAAAAACUCCGGUGGUAUGAGAUGGACCCGCGUUCGAUUAGCCAGUUGGCGGGGUAACGGCCCACCAAAGCGACGAUCGAUAGCCGAUCUGAGAGGAUGACCGGCCACAUUGGGACUGAGACACGGCCCAAACUCCUACGGGAGGCAGCAGUGGGGAAUAUUGCACAAUGGGGGAAACCCUGAUGCAGCGACGCCGCGUGAGUGAAGAAGUAUUUCGGUAUGUAAAGCUCUAUCAGCAGGGAAGAAAAUGACGGUACCUGAGUAAGAAGCCCCGGCUAACUACGUG
rnacentral:rRNA from 1 species